rnacentral:rRNA from 1 species
UGCAGUCGAGCGGUAGAGAGGUGCUUGCACCCCUUGAGAGCGGCGGACGGGUGAGUAAAGCCUAGGAAUCUGCCUGGUAGUGGGGGAUAACGCUCGGAAACGGACGCUAAUACCGCAUACGUCCUACGGGAGAAAGCAGGGGACCUUCGGGCCUUGCGCUAUCAGAUGAGCCUAGGUCGGAUUAGCUAGUUGGUGAGGUAAUGGCUCACCAAGGCGACGAUCCGUAACUGGUCUGAGAGGAUGAUCAGUCACACUGGAACUGAGACACGGUCCAGACUCCUACGGGAGGCAGCAGUGGGGAAUAUUGGACAAUGGGCGAAAGCCUGAUCCAGCCAUGCCGCGUGUGUGAAGAAGGUCUUCGGAUUGUAAAGCACUUUAAGUUGGGAGGAAGGGCAUUAACCUAAUACGUUAGUGUUUUGACGUUACCGACAGAAUAAGCACCGGCUAACUCUGUGCCAGCAGCCGCGGUAAUACAGAGGGUGCAAGCGUUAAUCGGAAUUACUGGGCGUAAAGCGCGCGUAGGUGGUUCGUUAAGUUGGAUGUGAAAUCCCCGGGCUCAACCUGGGAACUGCAUUCAAAACUGUCGAGCUAGAGUAUGGUAGAGGGUGGUGGAAUUUCCUGUGUAGCGGUGAAAUGCGUAGAUAUAGGAAGGAACACCGGUGGCGAAAGCGACCACCUGGACUGAUACUGACACUGAGGUGCGAAAGCGUGGGGAGCAAACGGGAUUAGAUACCCUGGUAGUCCACGCCGUAAACGAUGUCAACUAGCCG